rnacentral:tRNA from 1 species
GGGGGUAUAGAUUAGCGGUAGAGCACAUGCUUAGCCUGAGAGGGAUCCUGGGUUCAAUCCCCAGUACCUCCA